rnacentral:tRNA from 1 species
GUGAAUUUAAUUUAAUAGAUAAAAUAUUUAAUUUGCAAUUAAAAAAUUUAGGUUUAAUACCUAAAAUUCACA